rnacentral:rRNA from 1 species
AUGAACGCUAGCUACAGACUUAACACAUGCAAGUCGAGGGGCAGCAUGGUCUUAGCUUGCUAAGGCCGAUGGCGACCGGCGCACGGGUGAGUAACACGUAUCCAACCUGCCGUCUACUCUUGGACAGCCUUCUGAAAGGAAGAUUAAUACAAGAUGGCAUCAUGAGUCCGCAUGUUCACAUGAUUAAAGGUAUUCCGGUAGACGAUGGGGAUGCGUUCCAUUAGAUAGUAGGCGGGGUAACGGCCCACCUAGUCUUCGAUGGAUAGGGGUUCUGAGAGGAAGGUCCCCCACAUUGGAACUGAGACACGGUCCAAACUCCUACGGGAGGCAGCAGUGAGGAAUAUUGGUCAAUGGGCGAGAGCCUGAACCAGCCAAGUAGCGUGAAGGAUGACUGCCCUAUGGGUUGUAAACUUCUUUUAUAAAGGAAUAAAGUCGGGUAUGGAUACCCGUUUGCAUGUACUUUAUGAAUAAGGAUCGGCUAACUCCGUGCCAGCAGCCGCGGUAAUACGGAGGAUCCGAGCGUUAUCCGGAUUUAUUGGGUUUAAAGGGAGCGUAGAUGGAUGUUUAAGUCAGUUGUGAAAGUUUGCGGCUCAACCGUAAAAUUGCAGUUGAUACUGGAUAUCUUGAGUGCAGUUGAGGCAGGCGGAAUUCGUGGUGUAGCGGUGAAAUGCUUAGAUAUCACGAAGAACUCCGAUUGCGAAGGCAGCCUGCUAAGCUGCAACUGACAUUGAGGCUCGAAAGUGUGGGUAUCAAACAGGAUUAGAUACCCUGGUAGUCCACACGGUAAACGAUGAAUACUCGCUGUUUGCGAUAUACUGCAAGCGGCCAAGCGAAAGCGUUAAGUAUUCCACCUGGGGAGUACGCCGGCAACGGUGAAACUCAAAGGAAUUGACGGGGGCCCGCACAAGCGGAGGAACAUGUGGUUUAAUUCGAUGAUACGCGAGGAACCUUACCCGGGCUUAAAUUGCAGAUGAAUUACGGUGAAAGCCGUAAGCCGCAAGGCAUCUGUGAAGGUGCUGCAUGGUUGUCGUCAGCUCGUGCCGUGAGGUGUCGGCUUAAGUGCCAUAACGAGCGCAACCCUUGUUGUCAGUUACUAACAGGUUCCGCUGAGGACUCUGACAAGACUGCCAUCGUAAGAUGUGAGGAAGGUGGGGAUGACGUCAAAUCAGCACGGCCCUUACGUCCGGGGCUACACACGUGUUACAAUGGGGGGUACAGAGGGCCGCUACCACGCGAGUGGAUGCCAAUCCCCAAAACCUCUCUCAGUUCGGACUGGAGUCUGCAACCCGACUCCACGAAGCUGGAUUCGCUAGUAAUCGCGCAUCAGCCACGGCGCGGUGAAUACGUUCCCGGGCCUUGUACACACCGCCCGUCAAGCCAUGGGAGCCGGGGGUACCUGAAGUGCGUAACCGCGAGGAGCGCCCUAGGGUAAAACUGGUGACUGGGGCU